UAAUGUAAAUAUGAGUGUAUU
rnacentral:piRNA from 1 species